rnacentral:rRNA from 1 species
UACGUAGGGGGCAAGCGUUGUCCGGAAUUAUUGGGCGUAAAGAGCGCGUAGGCGGUCCGAUAAGUCGGCUGUGAAAGUCAGGGGCUCAACCCUUGGAAGCCGGUGGAUACUGUCGGGCUCGAGUCCGGAAGAGGCGAGUGGAAUUCCUGGUGUAGCGGUGGAAUGCGCAGAUAUCAGUAGGAACACCAAUGGCGAAGGCAGCUCGCUGGGACGGUACUGACGCUGAGGCGCGAAAGCUAGGGGAGCAAACGGG